rnacentral:rRNA from 1 species
CUACAUGGAAAUACCGUGGUAAUUCUAGAGCUAAUACAUGCAGUCAAACCUGACCUUUGGAAGGGUUGUAUUUAUUAGAUAUCAAGCCAAUAUUCCUUCGGGUCUAUUGUGGUGAAUCAUAGUAACUGAUCGAAGCUCUCUGAGCUAAAUCAUUCAAGUUUCUGCCCUAUCAGCUUUCGAUGGUAGUGUAUUGGACUACCAUGGCAGUCACGGGUAACGGGGAAUUAGGGUUCGAUUCCGGAGAGGGAGCCUGAGAAACGGCUACCACUUCUAAGGAAGGCAGCAGGCGCGUAAAUUACCCAAUCCCGAUUCGGGGAGGUAGUGACAAGAAAUAACGACCUGGGGGGCUUACGCUCUUACGGGUUCGUAAUGGGAACAAUGUAAAAACUUUAUCGAGGAACAAUUGGAGGGCAAGUCUGGUGCCAGCAGCCGCGGUAAUUCCAGCUCCAAUAGCGUAUAUUAAAGUUGUUGCAGUUAAAAAGCUCGUAGUUGAAUUUCUGUACGUGCCUAGUUCUGGCUUCGGUCAAGCUUUGGCGCGUGCAUCCGCUUGCAAACUUGGACCGGCCUUCACUGGUCGACCAAGGGAGUAGGCUUUUUACCUUGAAAAAAUUAGAGUGUUUCUAGCAGGCAAUUGCUUGAAUACAUUAGCAUGGAAUAAUAGAACAGGACUUAUGCUCCAUUUUGUUGGUUAUUGGGCAAAAGUAAUGAUUAAAAGGGACAGUUGGGGGCAUUAGUAUUUAAUUGUCAGAGGUGAAAUUCUUGGAUUUAUUAAAGACUAACUUAUGCGAAAGCAUUUGCCAAGGAUGUUUUCAUUAAUCAAGAACGAAAGUUAGGGGAUCAAAGACGAUUAGACACCGUCCUAGUCUUAACUAUAAACUAUACCGACUCGGAAUCGGACAGGUCCAUUCAACUUGUUCGGCGCCG